CGUUGUGCUCCCGCCGGCCUCUGCUGCCGUCGUCCCUCGUCGCCUUCACCACGCGAACGCCAGCCACCGCCACUCUCCUGGCCGGGAGUGAGAGAGAGAGAGAGAGGAGUAUGAGGAGAGGAGAUAAGGAUGACAUAAGGAGAGAGAGGGAUGAGUUGAAAAAAAUCCAAGUGUUAAAGAUGGAAUGAGGAGGUAACUCGAACUUUUGAAUGAACCAUCCAGAGUCCGUCCUGCAAAAAUAUAUACUUUCGUGCAUCCAUUUAAGAGGCCCGCCAGAAAAAAUAGUCUUUUUUUUUCAUACGACUCCCUAUGAGGGCCAUCUAUAAAAUAGAUUUUCACGUGCGGAUAUGUUAAGGAGUCGUACAUAAAAAUAGAUUUUCACGUGCGGAUAUGUUAAGGAGUCGUACAUGAAAACAGGGAGAUGAUUUUUCAGACGCGGGCGGAUACUUAUAUUCCGUUUACAACCUAUUGAGUUGUUUGUACAGGAAAAUUAUUUGUAGUAGUGGGUGCCGUAGCUUGAUGUUAGUAGUUUGAACUUACGUAAUGUCUAGAAACACGAGGGAUCGAAAGUUUGGUUCAAAUGGUUUGUUAUGUAGGAAUGAGGAUUUUGUUCACCUUUUUCUCUUUCAAGAAGUAUCGGCUAUGUCGAUUGUUGUGCAUGUAUAGGAUGAUUUACCCUGGUCAAUGUUGACCUUGCAAACAUGAGGUUAGUCAAAAGUUACCAAAUCUUGAGGUUUAUCUUGCUCCAAUAAUUUUAACUGUAGCUUUACUAAAUCAAGUUGGCUUAAAAAAUGUCUUAGCUUGUAGUCUCGUACUCCCUCAGAUACUUGUCCUAAUUUUGACGUGCUUUAAAACUUUUGAAACUUGAAUUGAUCAAAAUUUACAUUUGAAGGCCGUAUCGAUGUCCAGUGAUUGAUAUGUAUUGCUCCUGAUGAUAGAGGGGUAUAAAGAGAGCAGUAUAUAUUUUUAUAGAGAUAGUUAAGUAUUUAGCACUAUUGAAUGUGACAAUUAAAAAUCUGUCAUUAAUUAGACCCAUAUCUCAUAGACACAUAAGGUUCUACAUGUUAUAGACUAUAGACUAUAUGAGUGACAAAAUAGUUAAAUGUUAUAUAUUAAAAGUGGCAAAUAGUUAAAUGUCACGUAUUUAUAAUGUUUCCAAUCAAGAUUAGUAUGUAUACAUAUGAGCGUGCAAGCCAACAGUAACAAUCAAUACUCUAAAAGAGAGAGCUUGCAGGUUCAAGAACUAAAUUAACAAUUGUCUUCAAUAAAAUGACCUUGACAAUUUCUUAUAUUUUUUAUAAUGUUGAAUGACUUGUCUCUUCCGAAUUUUCCAAUUAAAUCCCUAGUACUUUUUAUAUUUCUAAUAUUUUCAAACAUGUUGAAGGAUACAAAAUUACACAUGGGCGCAUGACUACAUUUUUUUUCCUUUUAUAUGUUUUCCUCAUCAACGAUAAUAUACAAUCUGUUGCUAAAAUAAGCUAAGCUAUUCAUCAUGCCAUCAUAUUUAAGUACUUCAUAAUUAUUAAAACUUUUUUUGGCAUGAGUCAUAACACACAACUAAGUAUAUACCGGGCGUGAUCAAUGCAAUGCAUGUAGAAAACGGGUUCGCACGUGCCAUCCUUUCCACACGUGCACGAAAAGCAUUUGCCACCACAUUUUUGUCUUGUAGCUAAGGACUUUGCAAUUUGCCCAAUUGAAUUUACACUGUCCAAUUCAUAAAGCUACCUGCUACUACUCCAUUUACAACGGACACGUUGCUUUGUGGGGACCAUCUUGUCAGAGGGUCUAUAAAUUAAUUAAGGAUAAACACGUCCACGAAUUUGUGUUUUUAUUUGUCUUUUGCCCCCUCCAAGAAUGGUACUAAUACAAGACCAUCAAGCAAUUAAUAUCAGACCAGGUUGGACUGAUUAAUUGUACCUUUUGGGGUUCAGUAGGGCUAGCCAAUUAACUUUUUGUUAUAAAUGAAAUAUAACAAAUGGCAUAUUUACAAACAAAAAAUAUUUUAUAAAUAAAACUUUUAUAUACGUGCUCUUAGCAAUCUAAAAGCAAAGGCUGAAAAAUAAACUUCGGUGAAAAAACCUCAAAAUUAACUCUAAAUUUAAAGUUAAUAAUUUAAAUUUUAGCCGAUAAGUAUAAGCAUAAUUGAAAAGAAAAGAUGAGGCUCGUUACUGAUUAAUUAGCACAGCACAUAAUUAGCUAGGUCAGCAUGCAUGGUUGUCACUAGUCACUACCUCUGCUUUCUUCAUAAUUCUAGCGUCUUUUAAGACUUUUAAGAUUAAUCUAUACAUCACAUUCUAUUGUCUUUAAAAGUUAUUGAUAGAUAAAAUUCUACUUAUUUGAUCUUAAUUUUGUUCAAAUCGUUCAACCGAGGGAGUAGUUCGACUAGCUCAUGUAUAUAUAUAAUGUCCCAUAAGUUGAUGUUAUAAUUAAGUGAUCAAACGGUGCUUAAUUAACUUUAAUCAAACAGGCAUGGCAGUCAUCAAUUCAUCGUGCUUGUGUGACGCAAGCUGCCGAUCGAGGUGGAUGACAAGAGCAUGCAUUUGGUGAUAUUAAUAGCACGUACGAGGCAUGCAUGGAUAUUGGGCUGUAAAUUCAUUAAUCCUUCAAGCGCGAAAAAUAAAGAGGGCUGCUAGAGAACGGGAUACCAUCUGAACGAGAUACUUUAUAGAGGCUAGCGCAUCAGCUUUCUCCCCAUAAGUCUAGCGUCACCCCCCCCACAACUUCCACGUGCUCGCACCCCCAUGCCUUGAGGUAGUGCCCGCAGUGUCGUAGGCAACGAUACUGGUCACAACAGCAAGGAAUAAGGGUUGAGCCGAGGGGAAGGUAAAAGAGGAGAGGGAGCGUUAAUACUUGAUAUUUGCAGGUACUAGCCCUAGCCCUGAUACAUAAGUACCAGGUUUGAUACGUGUAAGUACCAACCAUGAUACCCAGGUACCAGGCCUAAUACCAAUGGGUACUAGGUCUGAUACCUAACCAUGAUACCCAGGUACCAGACCUUAUACCUACGGGUACCAGGUCUGAUACCUAGGUAUCGGUCAUGAUAUUCACAGGUACCAGGCAUGAUAGGGGUAUCGAGUCUGAUACCUAGGUAUCAGCCGUGAUACCACAGGUAUCAGGCAUGAUACCUAUGAGUACCGGCUACUGAUGAUACAUUGUAGACAUACAUACACACACUCGGGCGAGGAGCAUGACGGCUCACCAUCACGUUGCCCCUUCAUCACCAUCGAUAACGCACGUGGAAGGAGGAGGCCGAGGAGCACACGUUGGGCCUCAUCCUUCUAGUUCCCGAUGACCUCGCUUCUUCCAAGUUGCCCCCGGCCGCCAUCAGAGCUAGAUCCAGUGGUGCCACCAUGCCUCAAAAGCAUGACGGAGGAGGCCAUGAGAUUGGUGUUGCCCACGCGCCGUUGAUGCCGACGUGCACUCGCCCUAGAUCUAGCAGUGAGGAGGCAUAGUACUCUAGAUUCAUUUUUCGGGGCUGCUCUACCAUUACCAUGCCUGCAUAGAAGCUCUU
rnacentral:lncRNA from 1 species